rnacentral:misc_RNA from 1 species
AACGCACAUUGCGCCCUCUGGUAUUCCGGGGGGCAUGCCUGUUCGAGCGUCAUUUCACCACUCAAGCCUGGCUUGGUAUUGGGCGUCGCGGUGCCGCGCGCCUUAAAGUCUUCCGGCUGAGCUGUCCGUCUCUAAGCGUUGUGGCAACUAUUCGCUUCGGAGGCCGGGCGGCCGCGGCCGUUAAAUCUUUCACAAGGUUGACCUCGGAUCAGGUAGGGAUACCCGCUGAACUUAA